UUGACCUCGAAUCAGGUAGGGAUACCCGCUGAACUUAAGCAUAUCAUA
rnacentral:rRNA from 2 species